GACGAACGCUGGCGGCGUGCUUAACACAUGCAAGUCGAACGGAAAGGCCCUGCUUGCAGGGUACUCGAGUGGCGAACGGGUGAGUAACACGUGGGUGAUCUGCCCUGCACUUCGGGAUAAGCCUGGGAAACUGGGUCUAAUACCGGAUAGGAGCCAUUUUUAGUGUGAUGGUUGGAAAGUUUUUUCGGUGUAGGAUGAGCUCGCGGCCUAUCAGCCUGUUGGUGGGGUAAUGGCCUACCAAGGCGGCGACGGGUAGCCGGCCUGAGAGGGUGGACGGCCACAUUGGGACUGAGAUACGGCCAAGAAUCCGACGGGAGGAAGCAGUGGGGAAGAUUGCACAAUGGGCGCAAGCCUGAUGCAGCGACGCCGCGUGGGGGAUGACGGCCUUCGGGUUGUAAACUCCUUUCGCUAGGGAAGAAGCUUUUUGUGACGGUACCUAGAUAAGAAGCACCGGCUAACUACGUG
rnacentral:rRNA from 1 species